GUAAUGCUAAAGCAUCACACACUUACAUAACUAGACAAGCUCAGUUGAUACACUUAGUAAGUAAUAGCUUCAUCCUCGAGUUCGAGCCCCAAAACCAUUCGGUUCAAGUUUGAAAAGAAAGUAAGCAUUGAGCAAGUAGCGAGCAAAUGAAUAGUGAACACACAAGUGCGCGCGCGUAUAUAUGUAUAGUUUUUUUUUAUAGUAUAUUCAAUUUCGACCAAAACUCAAACUCGAGAUCUUAAAGCUAAUGAGUACUGUAUUAUGUAAAGUUAUAAUAAUAAUUGCACUCUUUUAGAGGGUUUGAAUUUGA
rnacentral:misc_RNA from 1 species